GGCCUCCCUCUGUGGGGUGAUCGAUCAUGGGGCCCCCAGAUCAAUCACCCCACUGAGGGAGUCC
rnacentral:pre_miRNA from 1 species